CCCAAAGAAAAAAACAAAUGUUACCCAAUAGGCAAACAAUGCUGAGAGUUCACUUCCUCUAACUCUGUAGUUAAGUUACUCACUCAGUAUAACAUCACCCUCCUGCCAGGGGUUGAAGUCAGGAAGUAGUUUAUUUUCGCUGAAACUGAAGGGGGAAGUUAAAGAGAAAAAUAGCUGCAACUUGGUCAAUUCAGGAAAACCAGGUACGAAAAAAGAGGAGCAAGUUAAAGGGAAAGCCAGCUCGGAUUUGCUCACCAGUAAAAGGCAAAAAUCCCAGUGUUAUUCAUCUGCAUUUGGUGUGAAAGACAAAAGCUCAACUGGGAUCUGAGGCUUUCUGUGUCAGAGGGCAAGGAGUCAAUGGGGUUAUGAGGAAGUAAGACCACUUGAGACAUCAAAGAAAAGUAGAUCAAAUCACUAGACUCCUCCAAACAGGAGUGGGUGAAGACAAAAAGUGGAGAGAAUCCAGAGGGAAGAGAGGAGUAGGGAAAAUGGUGGAAAGGGAAGGUUUUUGAGAUGGAAGGCAGAGAAUGGGAACAAAAGAAGAAAAAGCUGUUUGUUUCAAAUCAAUAUUCUCCAAGAGGAUGUCUUGUUUCCCCAGGGAUAUUCUGAGGGACUCACAGGAUCAGAGCUGCGACACUUCUAACAUAUGAAUUCUCUCAAUUCUGAUGCCCUUUGACCUCUGCCACACAAUGCCAAGACAAACCCAGACCCCAGGCCCUGGAAACAGAGGAGGGGCAGGUAAGCAACCAGAGGCAGGAAAGGAAAAAUGGGAAGGUAUGGAAAGCCAACUCUAUGGGAAAUUAAGGUUUGUGGGGUCAAGUGCUGGUGGAAUCAUUCUACAAUUUUAUUCAAUCUGAAAUGCGUAUAACUUCCAUGUACUAUUUUUAGAAGCUACUAUUUUGUGAAGUGGGUCAACAUUAGGUAAACCGUAAAUGAUUUGGUUUUACUGUUUUUUUUUCCAGGGACCACCUUCCCCCCCCCACAGAAUUUAUAGGAGAACACAAAUAUAGAUUAAAACAUCUUAUAUUUUUAAGAAUUCAGUUGACUUUACAUACAAUUCCCUCCAUUUUCUUUUUCUUUUAUUUUUACUUCAAGUACAAAUAUUUACAUAUCUGAAGGCACUGAACUUAUUUUGUGCAAUCAAGACAUAUAUUGUUUCAAACCAAUGUGUCUCCAAGGGGAUGGAGGUAUUCUUGAAAUGUCAUUAAUGUGACUUUUCUAGUGUCACACCUUAUUUAUAUUAUUUAUAAAUGAGAAGAAUAGUAUUGCUACUUGUUUUAAAAGUGACAGAAACCACAGACCAGAAAUCCUUCCUUUAAUCCUUCCCACUUGCUCACUGACAUAGGGAAAGGCUUCAGUCAUUUUCAGCUUUUAUCCUUUUCUCCCACUUGUAAAUUGGGUGCAUUUCUAUUCUUACACUUUCUCCUUCUCCAUCAAAUUCCAAAGUGGAAUACAAGAAGGAAACUUACUAAUACCAUAGUUUGGGGGCAGGAAUUAUGCUCAGUGAGGAGUGGAUAUAUUGGGCACGUAGGCAUUUCUAGUACUUUUCUCUAUUUUCUCAUUAAAUUCCUUUUACUCUGCUGAAGUCAAUCUCUUUGAGGGAAAUUCUAGGUCUCAGGAGACAGAGCUUAGGUUUUCAUGCCAGAGAUGCCUGCCCUAGAGUCUCAGAGACACCUAUUUACCCUCUUUCCUCAUCUUUAAAAUGAAGGUACAAUACUUAUUUCACAGCACUUUUACAAGCACCAAAUGCAAUAAACAUCCUAACUAUCUGGACUGCAAAACUGGCCCUCACUCAAGGCAAGAACUUAAAUAAUGUUGACAUGGACAAGAGACAGGGAAAUACUGGGUAGAAGGGCGGUUCUCCAGCAAAGGCCCCAUCCUCAAGCCUGGAAUCCCACAGCCCUGAAUAAGAAUAGGCAUUCUUGUUUUCACACCCAAAAGUUGCCUUUUGGCCUGCCACACCCCCUUCCUGUACUCAUAUAAACCCCAGACCCCAGGCUCCCGAAGAAGAUGAGGAGACAAACAGAAAAGCAAAAGACCAGCAGAAUAGUGCGGCAGAGAGAAGAGAAGGAACGUUUGAAUGUUGAGAGGAAUUCAGCUGGGGGUGAUAAGAGAGGGGAUCGGCUGUGGGACAGCCAAACUCCAGGGGAAGAUCAUCUUCCUACUCCAUCCCCCUUCCAGCUCCCCAUCCAUCCUGCUGAGAGCCACCUCCACCACUCAAUAAAACCCCUACAUUCAUCCUUCAAGUCCAUGUAUGACCUAAUUUUUUCUGGAUGCCAGACAAGGACUUGGGUACCAAGAGGGUCCACUGAGCUGUCUAACACUUAAGCUGUCUGUGGACAGCAAGGCUAAAAUAGCACACUGUAACCGGUCCCCACCUAGGCUUCAGGAGUCACAGACAUGCACCCCUAGACACAACCAUGGGGCCAGAGCCCAAAAAGAACUUGCCCUGGCUCCUGCACCUGCCCAUCUGCAUGCUCCUCCUCCCAUAAGGGGUUUGAGCACAUGGCGGCCACACACAAGCCACACCCCUGUCGCAUGUGCUGCAAGGGGGGUCAGGGAACUCUCCCAUUUCAAUGAUGACUUUGUUAAAUGGUCCAUAAGGGCUAUCCCCCCACACCUCUACCACACCAUGCCCCAUCUGUUUUCUUCCAG
rnacentral:lncRNA from 1 species